rnacentral:lncRNA from 1 species
AUAGACCCACUCAUUUUUAUGAAGGUCUAUUUUAGCAAGGUGCACCUUUUCUCUUGGACCAAAAUAUCCAUUUUUGCUUUUUGAACAAAUCAAAAUUCAAGGAUAAAAUUGUCAUUUUAAUGUGUUAUUAUUGCUUUUGUUCUUCUUUCCUCUCGGUCAAUUACUGAUUCAUUGACUUUCUUGAGUUUCUCCAUUUUCAUUCUUCUUCCUAAAACCUUCUCUCUUCUUCUGCAAAUCGAAACCUGUGACCCAAAGAAAAUUCAAAAUCAAAAACCCAUUAAAAACUCAUUUCUUAGCUGCUGGGAUUAAUAAGCUUCAUUGGGGUAUAAUUUCUCGUGGGUCU